UCAAUAGAAGCCAAAAAGAGGCAUGCCACUGUUAAUGUCAUUAAUGAAAUUUUUUCCUAUUGAG
rnacentral:tRNA from 1 species